rnacentral:rRNA from 1 species
GUCUACAUCCAUGCUACCUUGAACAAGCCCUAUCCCAUCUGAUCUCGGAAGCUAAGCAGGGUAGGCCUGGUUAGUACUUGGAUGGGAGACCACCUAGGAAGACCAGGCGCUGUAGGUG